AUGUUGGGUAUUUUCUUCCAUGAAACUGCUCUUCAGUUUGAUAUAAUCUGCAGGAGCAAUCCAGGAGCAUGGUGUGUCACCUAUGUCCUAAUCAAGGCAAUGAUGCUGACCUGUGACUUGACCUUCCAUGGAAAACUCUGGCUUGACGUGAGGGGGUCGUCGCUUCCAGAGAUCGUCGCCGGUCCGGUAGUCGCUUUAAGAGAUCGUCUCUCGGUCUGGUCGUCGCUUCCAGAGAUCGUCGCCCGGCCUGGUCGUCACUUCCAGGGAUGGGGAUGCCUUCACCAAAUGAGGCAAAAUCUGGCUCGCAGAUAUGUGUCGUCCAUUGGGAAGGUUUCGGUUGUAUACAUGGAAAGAAUCCAACUUGAUAUGUGGAAGGUCUAG
rnacentral:rRNA from 1 species